rnacentral:rRNA from 1 species
UACGGGGGGGGCAAGCGUUGUCCGGAAUUACUGGGCGUAAAGCGUGCGCAGGCGGCUGCUCAAGUCAGGGGUGAAAGCCCAGAGCUCAACUCUGGAAUUGCCUUUGAGACUGAGUGGCUUGAGUACGGGAGAGGUGAGUGGAAUUCCCAGUGUAGAGGUGAAAUUCGUAGAUAUUGGGAAGAACACCGGUGGCGAAGGCGGCUCACUGGCCCGUAACUGACGCUCAUGCACGACAGCGUGGGGAUCAAACAGG